rnacentral:rRNA from 1 species
GACGAACGCUGGCGGCGUGCUUAACACAUGCAAGUCGAACGGAAAGGCCCUGCUUUUGUGGGGUGCUCGAGUGGCGAACGGGUGAGUAACACGUGAGUAACCUGCCCUUGACUUUGGGAUAACUUCAGGAAACUGGGGCUAAUACCGGAUAGGAGCUCCUGCUGCAUGGUGGGGGUUGGAAAGUUUCGGCGGUUGGGGAUGGACUCGCGGCUUAUCAGCUUGUUGGUGGGGUAGUGACUUACCAAGGCUUUGACGGGUAGCCGGCCUGAGAGGGUGACCGGCCACACUGGGACUGAGGUACGGCACAGACUCCUACGGGAGGCAGCAGUGGGGAAUAUUGCACAAUGGGCGGAAGCCUGAUGCAGCAACGCCGCGUGCGGGAUGACGGCCUUCGGGUUGUAAACCGCUUGCGCCUGUGACGAAGCGUGAGUGACGGUAAUGGGUAAAGAAGCACCGGGUAACUACGUG